UACGUAGGGGGCAAGCGUUGUCCGGAUUUAUUGGGCGUAAAGAGCGUGUAGGCGGUUAGGUAGGUCCGUUGUGAAAACUCGAGGCUCAACCUCGAGACGCCGAUGGAAACCAUCUGACUAGAGUCCGGAAGAGGAGAGUGGAAUUCCUGGUGUAGCGGUGAAAUGCGCAGAUAUCAGGAAGAACACCCGUGGCUAAGGCGGUUCUCUGGGACGGUACUGACGCUGAGACGCGAAAGCGUGGGGAGCGAACAGG
rnacentral:rRNA from 1 species